AACGUAGGGGACAAGCGUUAUCCGGAUUUACUGGGCGUAAAGCGCCCGUAGGCGGCCUGACAAGUUGGACGUGAAAGCUCCUGGCUUAACUAGGAGAGGCCGUUCAAAACUGUCAAGCUAGAGUCUGGAAGAGGAGAGCGGAAUUCCCGGUGUAGUGGUGGAAUGCGUAGAGAUCGGGAGGAACACCAGUGGCGAAAGCGGCUCUCUGGUCCAAAACUGACGCUGAGGGGCGAAAGCGUGGGAGCGAACAGG
rnacentral:rRNA from 1 species